UACGGGAGGCUUAACACAUGCAAGCCGAGGGGUAUAGUUCUUUCGGGAACUAGAGACCGGCGCACGGGUGCGUAACGCGUAUGCAACUUGUCCUACUGAAAAGGAUAGCCCUUCGAAAGGAGGAUUAAUACUUUAUAAUAGAAAUCAUGGCAUCAUGAAUUUUUGAAAGAUUUAUCGCAGUAGGAUAGGCAUGCGUAAGAUUAGUUAGUUGGUGAGGUAACGGCUCACCAAGACGAUGAUCUUUAGGGGGCCUGAGAGGGUGAACCCCCACACUGGUACUGAGACACGGACCAGACUCCUACGGGAGGCAGCAGUGAGGAAUAUUGGACAAUGGGUGGAAGCCUGAUCCAGCCAUCCCGCGUGUAGGAUGACGGCCUUAUGGGUUGUAAACUACUUUUAUCUGGGGAUAAACCUACUCACGUGUGAGUAGCUGAAGGUACCAGAAGAAUAAGCACCGGCUAACUCCGUGCCAGCAGCCGCGGUAAUACGGAGGGUGCAAGCGUUAUCCGGAUUUAUUGGGUUUAAAGGGUCCGUAGGCGGAUUAAUCAGUCAGUGGUGAAAUCUCAUAGCUUAACUAUGAAACUGCCAUUGAUACUGUUAGUCUUGAGUGAUGUUGAAGUUGCUGGAAUGUG
rnacentral:rRNA from 1 species